CGUACGGGGAAGGAUGAGAAGCUUCGACUAAGGUUCGAUUCGAGCGAAAGCGAGAAAGCGUUGCCAACGGCAACGACCCGAAGGGCGAAGCGCGCAGCGCUGAGUCAACCUUCCCCCACCACCA
rnacentral:sRNA from 1 species